rnacentral:rRNA from 1 species
UACAGAGGGUGCGAGCGUUAAUCGGAAUUACUGGGCGUAAAGCUCACGUAGGUGGCGACGUAAGUCGGGUGUGAAAGCCCCGGGCUCAACCUGGGAAUUGCAUUCGAGACUGCAUUGCUGGAGUACGGAAGAGGAGGGCGGAGUUCCCGGUGUAGCGGUGAAAUGCGUAGAUAUCGGGAGGAACAUCAGUGGCGAAGGCGGCCCUCUGGUCCAGUACUGACACUCAAGUGCGAAAGCGUGGGGAGCAAACAGG